rnacentral:rRNA from 1 species
GACGAACGCUGGCGGCGUGCCUAAUACAUGCAAGUUGAGCGCUGAAGGUUGGUACUUGUACCAACUGGAUGAGCAGCGAACGGGUGAGUAACGCGUGGGGAAUCUGCCUUUGGGCGGGGGACAACAUUUGGAAACGAAUGCUAAUACCGCAUAAAAACUUUAAACACAAGUUUUAAGUUUGAAAGAUGCAAUUGCAUCACUCAAAGAUGAUCCCGCGUUGUAUUAGCUAGUUGGUGAGGUAAAGGCUCACCAAGGCGAUGAUACAUAGCCGACCUGAGAGGGUGAUCGGCCACAUUGGGACUGAGACACGGCCCAAACCCCUACGGGAGGCAGCAGUAGGGAAUCUUCGGCAAUGGACGAAAGUCUGACCGAGCAACGCCGCGUGAGUGAAGAAGGUUUUCGGAUCGUAAAACUCUGUUGGUAGAGAAGAACGUUGGUGAGAGUGGAAAGCUCAUCAAGUGACGGUAACUACCCAGAAAGGGACGGCUAACUACGUG